CGUACACUCCUACGGGAGGCAGCAGUGGGGAAUAUUGGACAAUGGGCGCAAGCCUGAUCCAGCCAUGCCGCGUGAGUGAUGAAGGCCCUAGGGUUGUAAAGCUCUUUCACCGGUGAAGAUAAUGACGGUAACCGGAGAAGAAGCCCCGGCUAACUUCGUGCCAGCAGCCGCGGUAAUACGAAGGGGGCUAGCGUUGUUCGGAUUUACUGGGCGUAAAGCGCACGUAGGCGGACUAUUAAGUCAGGGGUGAAAUCCCGGGGCUCAACCCCGGAACUGCCUUUGAUACUGGUAGUCUUGAGUUCGAGAGAGGUGAGUGGAAUUCCGAGUGUAGAGGUGAAAUUCGUAGAUAUUCGGAGGAACACCAGUGGCGUAGGCGGCUCACUGGCUCGAUACUGACGCUGAGGUGCGAAAGCGUGGGGAGCAAACAGGAUUAGAUACCCCAGUAGUCCCA
rnacentral:rRNA from 1 species